rnacentral:rRNA from 1 species
AUGGGACUUCUCCAAGGCGCGGAGGUGGACCUCGGGGCUCCUCCUCUCGAACCCUUUGGGUUUGGUGAUGACUUGGAGGAAGAGGGUGAUGAGGAGGAGGUGACCGAGAUAGAGGAGGAGGCGUUCGCCGCCGUUGCCCGCCCCGCCGUGCGCUCGACAAACUAUACCGAGGCCGAAGAUAUUCUCUUGGUUCGUGCUUGGGCACAUGUGGGGAUGGAUGCAAGCACCGGUACCGAUCAAACCGGUAAACGCUAUUGGCAACGCAUAGAGGACACCUAUUGCAAGAUCAAGCCGAAGACCAGUGGGUACAUAUCUCGUACAUACCGGUCGCUUCAAGGCCGGUGGGAGUUGAUGAAGCCCCAAUGUUCUCGUUGGAGUGCGACAAUGGACCAAGUGAAGGAUGCACCACCUAGUGGAACCGUGGAGAGUGACUAUGAGGCAAUUGCCGGCUUGAGGUACAAGGAGAUGGCCGCUCCCAAGGGCAAAGCAUUCUCAUUUAAGCAUGUUUGGGCAAUUCUUCAAACUUUUGACAAGUGGAAGUUGAGGGAUCAAGAGACUGCACCCAAGAAGGCAUCAAUGCUUAGGAUGGAUGAUAGUGAUGAGGAUGAAAGGAACUUGUGCAAGCCCGAGGGAACCAAGAAGGAUAAGCUAAGGAAGAAGAUGGAAGUAGAAGCGUCAAACAUAAGCGAGAAGAUGGAGCAUAUGAUGAAUUCAAGGGAGACAUUGACAAUGAAGACAUUGGAGACAAAGCUUCUUAUCACCGAGAAGAAGAAAGAGGUGAAGCUUGCACAAGUUGAAGCAAGGCGUGAAGAAGCCAAGCGCGCCGACUUGGAGGAGAGGAUGAUCAAGGUUAAAGAAGCAAAGGCAUGGAAAGAACUCAUGGUGGAAGAGAAGGAUCACAUGAUGAUGUCCAAGAAGGACAUGGAUGAAGACCAAUUGAUGUGGUGGAGGGACUACAAGGAGGACAUCGCGGAGAGGAAGAGGAUAUUUCGUGGUGCGUCCUCUACUCUUCAAGGUGACACUCCGAUGAGUGGUGGUGGCGAUGGCGGUGUGGAGGACUCCACCACUGGCGCCUAUGGAGGUGCUUGA